CACGUAGGGGGCAAGCGUUGUCCGGAAUCAUUGGGCGUAAAGCGCGUGUAGGCGGCCAGAAAAGUCCGCUGUGAAAACUCGAGGCUCAACCUCGAGCUGUCGGUGGAAACUUUCUGGCUAGAGUCCGGAAGAGGAGAAUGGAAUUCCUGGUGUAGCGGUGAAAUGCGUAGAUAUCAGGAGGAACACCGGUGGUGUAAACGGCUUCUGGACCAUAACUGACGCUGGAGGCACGAAAGCGUGGGUAGCAAACAGG
rnacentral:rRNA from 1 species